rnacentral:lncRNA from 1 species
GUUUGUUUUUUCAUUUUUAUAUGGUCAUUAACCAAAAAAAGCAAAAAAGACUACGUGACAGGGACUGUAAGUGGCCUGCCAAGUCUAAAAUAUUUUAUUCUCUGAUCCUUUCGAGAAAGUGUUUGCCAACUCCUGCCUUGGUCAAUUAAUAGAGAACCCUUGCCAGGCUUUAGCAGUAGGGCUCUCUUCGUGUUCAGUGCAGUGGGGGUGGUGAGGUUGGUGGAACUGCCUGACAAGUCCAUACAGUAGCUGUAGGUGAAACACCAGUCUUACUUGUCAGACUGGACAAGGACGGGGAGCAGCAAGAGGUGCUCCCAAAGGAUCUGACAUCAGCUGGCUCCCAGGAACUGUAGACCUGAGUGUUUCGCUUUGUUUUUAAACCGUUGUGCCUCCUCCCAUGUGACUGCUCCCUGGGCUGGUCCUGCUUCCUUUUCCAGUCUAGCCUGUGUCAUGGUUGGAGAUAAGUCAGUAUGUUCAAGUCUUCAAGGCAUCCUCACCCCAGAUCUCAGUCUUCUAAGUAAAGCUUAGAACAUAAUUUUCCUUACCUUUUCCAUUUCUGCUUAAUUCAGGGAGGAAAAAAAAAAUGCUGAAUUGCCCUUCUUAGAAAAUGAUGUAGUGCAGUCAUUAGACAUGUGGGGACAAUGUAUAAUAACAUCCUCAAAAGUGCUUGUAGCAUGACAUUAAGCGAGAAAGUUGGACACAAAUGUAGACAAACAGCAUAGUCUUAACUUUUUAAAAUAAACAAAUAGACAAACAACAGAAUAGCCAUCGAAAUAAGACAUUGGAAAGGAAACACUCCAAAGUUAACUGUGGUUGCCACAAAGAAUUGGAAUUCUGGGUUGUGUUUUUCAUCUUUAAACUUUUCUAUACUUUCAAAUUAUCCUGCCAAAAGAAUGUAUAGUUUUAAAACAAGAUUAAAAAAUAACAGUUUGACCUAAUGCUACUUUGGUGUAUUCUAGUCAGAAGAAACAUGUAUACAUUUACACUCACAUGUCAUCCUGGGAACAGAUGGAAAGUGCAUCUGUAAAGAUGUGAUUUGAAUCAAAUUGUCACAGUUACCAGAAACCGGCAGAAAAUGAAGAAAAAUGGAUAUCAGGGAGCCUUGAAUUAUUCUGGACACAGUGAGAAGGCAGCCAUCUGUAAGCCAGGAAGAGAGCUGUCACCAGGGACUGAAUCCAGCGCAUUGAUUUUGGACUUCUAACCUUCAGAACUGUGAGAAAUAAAUGUCAUUUAAGCCAUCAGUCUAUGGUACUUUGUUAUAGCAGCCUGAGCUGAUUAAGACACAGGGUUUUAUGAGCUUGAUCUUGAAGGCUCGUUUUGACUCUACAAUUCUAACAUUCUUUUCCAAAGUCCCCUCUGUUAUUGGCUGUGUUCAUUUCUGCCACUCUGCUGUCACUCAAGCCAUUCCUCCUCACUGCUAUGUUUUCUGCAACUCCUCACCAUUAAUCAAGAUCUUCUGCGAACUUAGAGGUUGAGCACACAUUUCAGCUCACAGGUGUGAAGAAAAAGCAGGGUCAAAUCCAAAUAUUUCUCUUUACUUUCAUGCGACCUUGAACAGUUACUUAACUUCUCUAUGCCUCCAUCUGCAAAGUGGAGUUAAUAAUACUUACAGGAUAAGAGUUGUGAUGAUUAAAUGGAAUUAAACAUGUAAAGCACCCACAUAGACCGGAGUUUGGCCCAUUUUUCUGCAAAAGAUCAGAUAGUAAAUAAUUUAGGCUUGCAGGGCAUGUGGUCUCUCAGCUUUGGCUUUGUAGGGCAAAAAGGACCACAGACAAUAUGCAAACAAAUGAGUGUGGCUGUGUUCCAAUAAAACUUUAUUUAUAAAAACAGGUGGCAGGCUGGAUUUGCACCCCGCCACCUGCAGCACUGGGCUUUGCUAUUCCAGGUAGCAGAUUAGGAUUCUCAUUGCUUUUUUAAAUUUAAACACACUUUAAGCUGUUUUAUGUUAUCCUUGGCUCUCCAUGGGGCCGCUCUUUUCCUCCCUGACUCACCC